rnacentral:rRNA from 1 species
UACGUAGGGUGCGAGCGUUGUCCGGAAUUAUUGGGCGUAAAGAGCUUGUAGGCGGUCUGUCGCGUCUGCUGUGAAAAUCCGGGGCUCAACCCCGGACUUGCAGUGGGUACGGGCAGACUAGAGUGUGGUAGGGGAGACUGGAAUUCCUGGUGUAGCGGUGAAAUGCGCAGAUAUCAGGAGGAACACCGAUGGCGAAGGCAGGUCUCUGGGCCACUACUGACGCUGAGAAGCGAAAGCAUGGGGGAGCGAACAGG